GAUGAACGCUAGCUACAGGCUUAACACAUGCAAGUCGAGGGGAAACGGCAUCGAAAGCUUGCUUUUGAUGGGCGUCGACCGGCGCACGGGUGAGUAACGCGUAUCCAACCUGCCCAUCACUUGGGAAUAACCUUGCGAAAGUAAGACUAAUGCCCAAUGACAUCCCACGAAGGCAUCCGAAUGGGAUUAAAGAUUUAUCGGUGAUGGAUGGGGAUGCGUCUGAUUAGCUUGUUGGCGGGGUGACGGCCCACCAAGGCAACGAUCAGUAGGGGUUCUGAGAGAAAGUCCCCCACCAUUGAACUGGGGCACCGUCCAAAAUCCCACGGGAAGGCGGAGUUGGGGAUAUUGGUCAAUGGGCGAGAGCCUGAACCAGCCAAGUAGCGUGCAGGAUGACGGCCCUAUGGGUUGUAAACUGCUUUUAUAAGGGAAUAAAGUGGGUCACGUGUGACUUUUUGCAUGUACCUUAUGAAUAAGGACCGGCUAAUUCCGUG
rnacentral:rRNA from 1 species